GCGUGCAAGCAGGAGGGGGCAGGGAUCUCUCAGUUAGGGAGCCUCCCUUCCCAGCUGAGGGAUCCCUGCCCCCUCCUGCUUGCACGCAAGUAAGAAUGGGAUUGGGGCUGCUCCGAUGGGAAGGGAGGCAUCGCGCUGCCUGAGAGAUCCCUGCCCCCUCCUGUUUGCACGC
rnacentral:miRNA from 1 species